GUUGACUGUGCGGAAGGAGGCAAUGGUAAACCACUCCCGCAUUUUAACCAAGAAAACUCAAAUCGAUCCAUUAGCAGAAAGAUUGCAGAGGCGGUGCGGCAUUCUGGGAGAGAUGGAUCAGAGACAACUCGACAGCAUCAAACAAGACAGGACUGCAAGAAUAAACAGGGCUGCAGAUGUUUGUCGAUUGUCUUCGGAAUUUAACGGAUGGUGUUAAGAGAAAAUGAGCAAAUCUCUUUUGAUCUUUGUUGUUGGAAGGGAUAUAUAUUAUGCACCUUUCUUCUAUAAAGACAUCAACUCUGCUGAAAAUUUGAAUGCUUAACAAGGAAGAUCCAAGGGAAAACAUUUGUCAUGAAAGGAGCUGGGUUUGUGGAAGUCAAGAUAAGGUUAAAACCAGAGGAGGAUUGUAUUACCAUAGCAUAGAUUCUCACUCUCUUUUCUCUGCUAGCAUACUGAGUUGCUCCUGGAUCCAGCAGCAAAGGAAGGAAAAAAGCAAUGAAAGAAGAGGAAGAAGUUAAUCAGUAGCAGAAGCAAAGAACAGAUAUUUUUGCAAUCAGAGGAGAAAUUUGAUUAAACUGCAGGGAAGAAGACCCAGAAGAGAAGCACUGUGGCCUG